rnacentral:rRNA from 1 species
AAAUUGAAGAGUUUGAUCAUGGCUCAGAUUGAACGCUGGCGGCAGGCCUAACACAUGCAAGUCGAACGGUAACAGGAAGCAGCUUGCUGCUUCGCUGACGAGUGGCGGACGGGUGAGUAAUGUCUGGGAAACUGCCUGAUGGAGGGGGAUAAGAUAA